UACGUAGGGGGCAAGCGUUGUCCGGAUUCAUUGGGCGUAAAGAGCGUGUAGGCGGCCAGGUAGGUCGGUUGUGAAAACUGGAGGCUCAACCUUCAGAGGUCGACCGAAACCAUCUGCUAGAGUCCGGGAGAGGAGAGUGGAAUUCCUGGUGUAGCGGUGAAAUGCGCAGAUAUCAGGAAGAACACCCGUGGCGAAAGCGGCUCUCUGGAACGGUACUGACGCUGAGACGCGAAAGCGUGGGGAGCGAACAGG
rnacentral:rRNA from 1 species